rnacentral:rRNA from 1 species
GGGGAAUAUUGCACAAUGGGCGAAAGCCUGAUGCAGCGACGCCGCGUGAGGGACGACGGCCUUCGGGUUGUAAACCUCUUUCAGCAGGGACGAAGCGAAAGUGACUGUACCUGCAAAAGAAGCACCGGCUAACUACGUGCCAGCAGCCGCGGUAAUACGUAGGGUGCAAGCGUUGUCCGGAUUUAUUGGGCGUAAAGAGCUCGUAGGCGGUUUGUCGCGUCGGAUGUGAAAACCUAUGGCUUAACCAUGGGCCUGCAUUCGAUACGGGCAGACUAGAGUUCGGUAGGGGAGACUGGAACUCCUGGUGUAGCGGUGAAAUGCGCAGAUAUCAGGAAGAACACCGGUGGCGAAGGCGGGUCUCUGGGCCGAUACUGACGCUGAGGAGCGAAAGCGUGGGGAGCAAAC